rnacentral:rRNA from 1 species
GUAGGGGAUAUUGGUAAUGGGCGCAAGCCUGAACCAGCAACGCCGCGUGUGCGAUGAAGGCCUUCGGGUUGUAAAGCACUUUUGACCGGGACGAGGAAGGACGGUACCGGUGGAAUAAGCCUCGGCUAACUACGUGCCAGCAGCCGCGGUAAAACGUAGGAGGCGAGCGUUAUCCGGAUUUACUGGGUGUAAAGCGCAUGCAGGCGGUUGGCUAAGUUGGAUGUGAAAGCUCCUGGCUUAACUGGGAGAGGUCGUUCAAGACUGGUCGACUAGAGGAUGGGAAGGGAAAGCGGAAUUCCGGGUGUAGUGGUGAAAUGCGUAGAUACUCGGAGGAACACCAGUGGCGAAGGCGGCUUUCUGGCCCACACCUGACGCUCAGAUGCGAAAGCUAGGGUAGCAAACGGGAUUAGAUACCCCAGUAGUCC